AGGCGAGUCUCGCUGCCAACCACCACUGCACUGGCUGCCGCGGCGCCCGACGUGUCUGGUGAGUCUCUACAUACUCCUUCCAUCAACGUACGCAACGGAAAUAAUGGCAAAACUGAAUUGAUGAAUAGAGCUGGUAUAGAUCCUGGUGUGUUUAAAACAAAAGCUUUUUACACCAUCGACGAGAGCUGGGUCAAGAAAGCUAAUGGAUCAAUGUCUGACCUGCAAAUAUGGGCCAGGGAAAUGUAAAGAGGGAAGAGAAAUUUGGAGGAUGUAUCAGUAAGGACGAUUUUAAAUCUGAGGUGCAUGCUGAAGUGACUUCACAGUGUUAUAUAUGAAGAUGCUGAACUUAUACUUUUACAAUGCUUCAGCUAUAUGUGCACCUCCAAUAUACCUAUAAGUGGAAAUAUAAUUCAGUGAACAACAAAUGAGACUGCAGAAAAUUUACACAUUCAAAACAGACUUCAAUUGUUUUGUUUGUUGGCUGUGUAAGUUCCAAAAUAGAGGCCUAAUUUCAUGCUCAGCGAUAGGCAAUGAAAUGAAUAAAGUUGACGAAGAAGGGGGCAAGCAUUGGUUGCAUGAAUUUGACCAAGUGAGAGAAAAGUUUGCUGUAUCUUAUGCCAGCAAUGUGGACAAAACUAGUAUUUCUUUACAACUUCUGCCAAGUCAAACACACAAAACAUAAGGUGACAUGUGGCAUCGUGUGGCCAGCAGUAAACAACAUUCUUGGGUGAUCAGUAAAUUUGAGAAACUGAUAUGUUUUAAGAACAUAAAAUUAAUGCUUCACUUUGCAUCUACUCCCAUUAUUGGAAAGCUUGGAUUGACAGUUAGUCAUAAAUGGCUUUUUUGUUCUGUUUGUGCAGUUAUUGCAAACCACUGUUAUAAAUGGGACUGAUGUACCUUGUAAUAUUUGAAAGCAUCUUUUUAAUAUUCUGCAAUAACAGAAUAGUAGAUAUAGUAGUGUUUUCUCUGAUAACAUGCAUAAUGUUG